UAGAUUGUGGGAAAGCAGUGUUCAGUAGCUUCAUUCUGGAUUCCAGCACUGGCAUUCCCCAUAUAGUUAGUCUACCCAUCACCCGCAUUAAUUCCACACUUCCUGGCCGGUUACACAUGCAGGAUGAUAAAGUGCUUGAAGUCUUGGCUGAGAAUAAUUGAACAAUGAGAGAAUAAAAGUCAUUGUCAGUGAGCAGGACCACAAGCUGUGCCUGUUUACAUGAUGAACAGAAAACAUCUGAAAGCAAAUCUGGGUUAGAGGAAUCUGGAGUUCCAGGCUGUACACUUCUUAGACUCACCCACUUUUGUUAGCUUGGGGAUUAAGAUCAUUGUGCCAUAUUGCCUAAAGUAUACUGGAAGAUUGAAAGCAAAACCAUUUAUAGAGCAAUAAAAUCCAGACCCUCUGAAAUAAAAUAUGCUUUUCAAUUGGAACAAACAAGCAAUCUCUGUUUUAAGCUCUCUAAAAUUAACUUAUGUAAUCUAGAACAAUAAGGAAAUAAAAUUGUUAAUGUUCGAAUUAUAAAA